AGAGUUUGAUCCUGGCUCAGGAUGAACGCUAGCGGCAGGCUUAACACAUGCAAGUCGAGGGGCAGCGGGGAGGAAGCUUGCUUUCUCCGCCGGCGACCGGCGCACGGGGUGAGUAACACGUAUGCAACCUGCCCCUGUCAGGGGGACAACCCGCCGAAAGGCGGGCUAAACCCGCGUACAUGCCACCGGGGCAUCCCGGAGGCAGGAAAGGCUUCGGCCGGACAGGGAUGGGCAUGCGGCGCAUUAGGCAGUAGGCGGGGUAACGGCCCACCUAACCGACGAUGCGUAGGGGUUCUGAGAGGAAGGUCCCCCACACUGGUACUGAGACACGGACCAGACUCCUACGGGAGGCAGCAGUGAGGAAUAUUGGUCAAUGGUCGGGAGACUGAACCAGCCAAGCCGCGUGAGGGAGGAAGGUACAGAGUAUCGUAAACCUCUUUUGUCAGGGAACAAAGGCGGGGACGUGUCCCCGGAUGAGUGUACCUGAAGAAAAAGCAUCGGCUAACUCCGUGCCAGCAGCCGCGGUAAUACGGAGGAUGCGAGCGUUAUCCGGAUUUAUUGGGUUUAAAGGGUGCGCAGGCGGUCUGUUAAGUCAGCGGUCAAAGCCCGGGGCUCAACCCCGGCCCGCCGUUGAAACUGGCAGUCUCGAGUUGGAGAGAAGUAUGCGGAAUGCGCGGUGUAGCGGUGAAAUGCAUAGAUAUCGCGCAGAACUCCGAUUGCGAAGGCAGCAUGCCGGCUCCACACUGACGCUGAGGCACGAAAGCGUGGGUAUCGAACAGGAUUAGAUACCCUGGUAGUCCACGCAGUAAACGAUGAAUGCUGGCUGUCCGGGGGGAUUGACCCCUGGGUGGCGAAGCGAAAGCGAUAAGCAUUCCACCUGGGGAGUACGCCGGCAACGGUGAAACUCAAAGGAAUUGACGGGGGCCCGCACAAGCGGAGGAACAUGUGGUUUAAUUCGAUGAUACGCGAGGAACCUUACCCGGGCUCAAACGGGGAGUGCCGCAGGCAGAGACGCCUGUUUCCCACGGGACACUCCCCGAGGUGCUGCAUGGUUGUCGUCAGCUCGUGCCGUGAGGUGUCGGCUUAAGUGCCAUAACGAGCGCAACCCCCGCGUGCAGUUGCUAACAGAUAACGCUGAGGACUCUGCACGGACUGCCGGCGCAAGCCGCGAGGAAGGCGGGGAUGACGUCAAAUCAGCACGGCCCUUACGUCCGGGGCGACACACGUGUUACAAUGGGUGGUACAGCGGGAAGCCAGGCGGCGACGCCGAGCGGAACCCGAAAUCCACUCUCAGUUCGGAUCGGAGUCUGCAACCCGACUCCGUGAAGCUGGAUUCGCUAGUAAUCGCGCAUCAGCCAUGGCGCGGUGAAUACGUUCCCGGGCCUUGCACACACCGCCCGUCAAG
rnacentral:rRNA from 1 species